rnacentral:rRNA from 1 species
GAUGAACGCUGGCGGCGUGCCUAAUACAUGCAAGUCGAGCGAACAGACGAGGAGCUUGCUCCUCUGACGUUAGCGGCGGACGGGUGAGUAACACGUGGAUAACCUACCUAUAAGACUGGGAUAACUUCGGGAAACCGGAGCUAAUACCGGAUAAUAUAUUGAACCGCAUGGUGCAAUAGUGAAAGACGGUUUUGCUGUCACUUAUAGAUGGAUCCGCGCCGCAUUAGCUAGUUGGUAAGGUAACGGCUUACCAAGGCAACGAUGCGUAGCCGACCUGAGAGGGUGAUCGGCCACACUGGAACUGAGACACGGUCCAGACUCCUACGGGAGGCAGCAGUAGGGAAUCUUCCGCAAUGGGCGAAAGCCUGACGGAGCAACGCCGCGUGAGUGAUGAAGGUCUUCGGCUCGUAAAACUCUGUUAUUAGGGAAGAACAAAUGUGUAAGUAACUAUGCACGUCUUGACGGUACCUAAUCAGAAAGCCACGGCUAACUACGUG